ensembl:lncRNA
AUUACACCUUUCUUGGCUGCUACUUCAAAGCACAUUGUGCGCUGUUUGUCCUGCACAACAACAUUGAAUAUUUAGUAUUUACUGCUGUCUACACUUAGCUAGAUUAAUGCGAUGGUAUGUUGCUUUGGUCUUUUUUGCUUGUUUUCUAUUCUUUCUGUCACGGACCCAGUUCCAGGGAUUCGGGGUCCGUGAGCAGUCUGGACUACUAUUGUAGUUAUUAUCAUUAUUAUUGUGGUUAUUGUUAUUAUGGUUGUGUCUGCUGUCCUGUUUUCCGUGUUGGUGUACUGUCAGGUGUUUAUGGGUGUGUGAGGGUGCGGUCGUGGCAGGCACUUUUAGGCCUGGUGGGUGUGGCCCUGCCAGCUGACCGGUCCCACCCAGGAAUCCACACACACCUGGCGCCGAUCAAGCCUCGUCAGAGGAGCUUCAAAACAGUGUGGCUGAGAGCUCCUCGACGCUGGAUCGUUGAGUGACUUCCCGAGGAAUUGUGGCGACCAGGAGGCAGCACACGGACAGUACACAGGGAACAGAGACAGAGCACGGAGCACGGGAUAAAGGAGAAGACACGGAACGGGAGUUGGGAUCGCACGGGGAAUUUAUUGUUGUUUGGAUUGUCACCACUGUAAAUAAACGCACUGCCUUCAGCGCCAAGUCCUGCAUUUUGGGUCCUCAUUUCUCACAUCCCCACGGUCUGCCAGCCAGACCGUGACACUUUCUCUCUCAACAGAAACGGAUCAGAAAUUUCUGGCACCACAUCGCAGCUCCUUCCACGGAGCCAAGCAUAAGAUCUAAUGAUGGUGAUGAUGAUCCUGAUGAAGGCCACAAGCCGAAAUGUGUCGGUGGAGCAGUGAAGUUUUCUAAAUCAUUCAAAUGUUCCUUGAGCUCCAACUUUCUAUUUCCUUAUUGCUUCAGGACUGUGUGUUGAUUUCACUGACAGCUUAUUUAUUAAUAAGUAAUUAUUAAUAUUAUUGUUGAAAACAACUCCAAGAGCUAAGUUUAGUUUUAUAGAAAAGAGCAGUAUCUCUGUCAGGUGAAUAUCUACAAAUAUACUAACAAAUAAAAUCUGCAUCUGACGAUGACAGUCAGCAAUGCAGCUUGAUUUGAAAACAUUAAUAUGGAAAUAAAAGAAUGAAUGAAUGACUGAUGCUGCCUGAACUUUUAAUGUGACUCUUUCCUUACUUGUUUAAAAUGUCUGAAUAAUUAGUCAUUACUGCUUUUCUUGAAAUCUCAACACAGAAGAAACGCCUGCGACCUUUGAGAGAGAUUGAACAUUGUGUUUUUGAGUGACAGCAGAUUACUGUUUUUGGCGAGUGAUUGAAACUCCACGUGCCGCCAUGACCACCCCGUUUCCCUGAACGUAUAUAUACGUAUGUAUAAUAAUAAGUGUUCAAUGCUUGUACACAGUGUGGGGUUUUCUAAUAUUGUCACUAAUAAAAGAUGAAUAGAAUUUAAGAUGUUUUAAAUAAAGUGGAACUGCUGCCAACCUUUGAAUCU